ACCGAAUCCGCCCGGGGAGCGGGGGAACCACUUAUUUGGGGUGAACGGCAUUGCCGAGGCUGUUUCUCUGGCCUAACCCGUCAGCUAACCUCGCAGGUGAAGAGAGAGGAG
rnacentral:sRNA from 1 species